UAAUGUCCUCACAUGAUGUAUAUUAGUGUAGAGACCCGCGCGAUGCAGCGGGUAGAUAAUAGAAGCGAAAUUUAAAAAUUUUAAUAAAAUUUAUAUUUACAGUUUAUUGAUAUAUAGGAAGCUAUACUAUAUUAAGCACAACAAAUUUAUAUGACUAAAUUCACAUGGUAAGAUGGGCCCCCGCGCGGACCAGCUCAGCGAGCACUUAUAUGGGCCUUGGCUCGUCUUCGCGGGACGAUACUUCUCGAAGGAGACAAUAUUCUUCAGAGGCUUUUUUUUUUUCUUCUUCUUCCUCGUCAUCUUCGUUAACACAAUGAGAGAAAGAGGGAGAUGAGUGCGGAAUAGGAGAUUAGGCGAUGAUAUAUUUUUUUAUGGUGCAUGUAAAAGAGUUACAAAAAAGAGGGGAUGGGAGAUUUAUGGAGGAUGAGAGUGGAUUAAAGUUAUAAAACUCACUCAUUGAUAGAAUAUUAAUAUGGUGCAUAUAAUUAAAUGUUACACCUUGCAUGUAAUUAGAGGAGUGGGGAGGUGAGUUGGGUGUUGAGAAUAAGAGAAAGUGGUUUGAUUUAAAAUUGGAUUUAAAGUUGUAUGUAAUUAAAUGUUGCAUCUUACAUGUAAUCAGAGGAGUGAGAAGGUAAAGGGUUGGGCGUUAAGAAGAUAAGAAUGAGGUUUGAUUUAAAGUUGGCUAUGAGAAUUAAGAGUAACAUGCCACGUGACAAAAAAUAUUGUGGCUUCAUAUAGGUUUAUAGAUUAUAGAUAUGCUAGCCUUUUGGCACAUUGUCUAUAUCCUGAUAAAUCUUUAA
rnacentral:lncRNA from 1 species